UCAAAUACUACUUGUAAUACAACUUGCAC
rnacentral:sRNA from 1 species